rnacentral:rRNA from 1 species
GACGAACGCUAGCGGCGUGCCUAACACAUGCAAGUCGAACGAAGUCCACUUGGUAGCAAUACCGACGACGACUUAGUGGCGAACGGGUGAGUAACACGUGAGAAACCUGCCCCGAAGACCGGGACAACCGAGGGAAACUUCGGCUAAUACCGGAUAUCCCCAUUCCUUCGCAUGUUGGAAUGAGGAAAUGUUUUUUCGCUUUGGGAGGGUCUCGCGGCCUAUCAGCUAGUUGGUGAGGUAACGGCUCACCAAGGCAUCGACGGGUAGCUGGUCUGAGAGGACGAUCAGCCACACUGGGACUGAGACACGGCCCAGACUCCUACGGGAGGCAGCAGUGGGGAAUCUUGCGCAAUGGGCGAAAGCCUGACGCAGCAACGCCGCGUGGGGGAUGACGGCCUUAGGGUUGUAAACCCCUUUCGACAGGGACGAAAUUGACGGUACCUGUAGAAGAAGCUCCGGCCAACUACG